rnacentral:lncRNA from 1 species
GAGUAGUUCUGGAGAUUCAUUGCCAGGUGUAUCACCGAGUGCCUCAGAGAUGGUAUUCGCUGCUCCCUCGGACAAAUUAUCUGAUGCCAGGGUGACAUUUUCCUUGGAGUCUUGAUCUGCCGGUAACUGAACAACAUUGUCCCCAACUACCGCAAGGGGUGCAGCAGCAUGUUCAUUGAUGAGUAGUUCUGCAGAUUCAUAGCCAGGUGCCUCAUCGAGAGCCUCAGAGACGGUAUUCGCUGCUCCCUCAGACAAAUUAUCUGCAGAUUCAUUGCUACGUGCAUUUUCCUUGGAGUCUUGAUCUGCAGGUGACUGAACAGGUUCAUUGGCAGAUGUGUCCCCAACUACGUCAAAGGGUGCAGCAGCAUGUUCAUCGAUGAGUAGUUCUGCAGAUUCAUUGCUAGGUGUCUCACCGAGUGCCUCAGAGAUGAUAUUCACUGCUCCCUCAGACAAAUUAUCUGAUGCCAGGGUGACGUUUUCCUUGGAGUCUUGAUCUGCAGGUAACUGAACAGGUUCAUUGGCAGAUGUGUCCCCAACUACUUCAGAAGUGUGGUCCAGUGUUCCAUCAGAGAACUUAGUUGGUGCAGAGAAGUCCACGGUAGUAGGAUUUGG